GCUUACGUCCAUACCACCCUGAGAACGCCCGAUCUCGUCUGAUCUCGGAAGCUAAGCAUGGUUGGGCCUGGUUAGUACUUGGGUGGGAGACCGCCUGGGAAUACCAGGUGCUGUAAGCU
ensembl:rRNA 5S_rRNA 5S ribosomal RNA